AUAUUGGCCUAAAUUCUUUAAAAGCACCAGAUCCUAGAUGAUCUUAGUAGCUAACCAGGGUCAGCAAUGGUUAAUACUUGGAUAGGAGACUGCCAACAAAUAUCAGGUGCUGCAUUUC
rnacentral:rRNA from 11 species